CCUACGGGCGGCAGCAGUGGGGAAUAUUGGACAAUGGGCGAAAGCCUGAUCCAGCCAUGCCGCGUGUGUGAAGAAGGCCUUCGGGUUGUAAAGCACUUUCAGUGGGGAAGAAAGCCUUGGGGCUAAUACCCUCGAGGAAGGACAUCACCCACAGAAGAAGCACCGGCUAACUCCGUGCCAGCAGCCGCGGUAAUACGGAGGGUGCGAGCGUUAAUCGGAAUUACUGGGCGUAAAGCGCGCGUAGGCGGUCUGAUAAGCCGGUUGUGAAAGCCCCGGGCUCAACCUGGGAACGGCAUCCGGAACUGUCAGGCUAGAGUGCAGUAGAGGAAGGUAGAAUUCCCGGUGUAGCGGUGAAAUGCGUAGAGAUCGGGAGGAAUACCAGUGGCGAAGGCAGCCUUCUGGACUGACACUGACGCUGAGGUGCGAAAGCGUGGGUAGCAAACAGGAUUAGAUACCCCAGUAGUC
rnacentral:rRNA from 1 species